AGGCUUGAAGGCUUCCUCCUUUUCGGGACUGUGCUUGAACUUAGAAUGGAAACUUACCCACAGAAACAAAAGGAGUCUUUGAUCUUCACUACAUCUCAGCCUUUCAGGAGCCAUUUGAGCUUGAGGUCAAGAAGGAAGAGCUAAUCCUUUUGUCUUCUGACUUGGUUGGAAUAAUCAUCUAUUACUACGUAACUGAGUACCUCAAAACCUUGUGGCUUAAGGAAGAAUAAAUGUUUGUUAUUUCCGGCAGUUUCUGUGUGUUCG